rnacentral:lncRNA from 1 species
GUACAUUUACGAGGAAUACUUUUCCUCGUUAAUUUUUCUCGCUAAAUUUUUGUUUUCUCGUAGUGUUUCCACUAUUUAUAACACUCAUCAUUAACUUUUUAUUACCAACGGUUGGUUUAAAAGGAUGUAAAUCACAUAAUAGAGAAAACAUGCUUAAAGUGUUUGAGUUGAAAACACAAACUACUAGUAUUUAUUAAUAUUUCGAUAUAUAUUUUUGGGCAAAUCUCAAAAAUAGCAUCUUUCUAAGUUUAUAUCACAAAAAUAGCACUUAAAAACUAAAAUGACCAAAAUAGCACCUUUCUAAGUUUAUCCUUUGAAAAUUUUAAUUUUUUUAUUUUUCAAAAUUUGAAAUCUUAUCCCCAAAACCUCAUUUCUCAACUCUAAUUAAACCCUAAGCCCUAAUCUCUAAACCCUAAACCCUAAACUCCAAACCAUAAACCCUAAACCAUAAACCCUAAACCCUAAAAUCUAAACCCUAAACCCUAAACUCUAAACCCUAAACCCUAAAUCCUAAACCCUAAAUCCUAAACCCCACCCUUUAAUUCUAAACCCUAAGUUUGUGACUUUUGAUAAAACAUUAAGUGUUAUUUUUGUGACUUUUGACCUUAG